rnacentral:rRNA from 1 species
GACGAACGCUGGCGGCGUGCCUAACACAUGCAAGUCGAACGGGGUGAUUCCUUCGGGGAUCACUUAGUGGCGAACGGGUGAGUAACGCGUGAGAAACCUGCCUUUCAGUGGGGGACAACAGUUGGAAACGACUGCUAAUACCGCAUAAUGUUUCGAGAGGGCAUCCUUUUGAAACCAAAGCUUUAUGUGCUGAAAGAUGGUCUCGCGUCUGAUUAGCUAGUUGGUGAGGUAACGGCUCACCAAGGCGACGAUCAGUAGCCGGUCUGAGAGGAUGAACGGCCACAUUGGGACUGAGAUACGGCCCAGACUCCUACGGGAGGCAGCAGUGGGGAAUAUUGGGCAAUGGGGGAAACCCUGACCCAGCAACGCCGCGUGAAGGAAGAAGGCCUUCGGGUUGUAAACUUCUUUUACCAGGGACAAAGAACGUGACGGUACCUGGAGAAAAAGCAACGGCUAACUACGUGCCAGCCGCCGCCGUAAGAC